rnacentral:rRNA from 2 species
GUGGGUAGUUUGACUGGGGCGGUCUCCUCCUAAAGAGUAACGGAGGAGCACGAAGGUUGGCUAAUCCUGGUCGGACAUCAGGAGGUUAGUGCAAUGGCAUAAGCCAGCUUGACUGCGAGCGUGACGGCGCGAGCAGGUGCGAAAGCAGGUCAUAGUGAUCCGGUGGUUCUGAAUGGAAGGGCCAUCGCUCAACGGAUAAAAGGUACUCCGGGGAUAACAGGCUGAUACCGCCCAAGAGUUCAUAUCGACGGCGGUGUUUGGCACCUCGAUGUCGGCUCAUCACAUCCUGGGGCUGAAGUAGGUCCCAAGGGUAUGGCUGUUCGCCAUUUAAAGUGGUACGCGAGCUGGGUUUAGAACGUCGUGAGACAGUUCGGUCCCUAUCUGCCGUGGGCGCUGGAGAACUGAGGGGGGCUGCUCCUAGUACGAGAGGACCGGAGUGGACGCAUCACUGGUGUUCGGGUUGUCAUGCCAAUGGCACUGCCCGGUAGCUAAAUGCGGAAGAGAUAAGUGCUGAAAGCAUCUAAGCACGAAACUUGCCCCGAGAUGAGUUCUCCCUGAGACUUAGAGUCUCCUGAAGGAACGUUGAAGACGACGACGUUGAUAGGCCGAGUGUGUAAGCGCAGCGAUGCGUUGAGCUAACCGGUACUAAUGAACCGUGAGGCUUAACCUUACAACGCCGAAG